rnacentral:rRNA from 1 species
UACGAAGGGGGCUAGCGUUGCUCGGAAUCACUGGGCGUAAAGGGUGCGUAGGCGGGUUUUUAAGUCAGGGGUGAAAUCCUGGAGCUCAACUCCAGAACUGCCUUUGAUACUGAAGAUCUUGAGUUCGGGAGAGGUGAGUGGAACUGCGAGUGUAGAGGUGAAAUUCGUAGAUAUUAGGAAGAACACCAGUGGCGAAGGCGGCUCACUGGUCCGGUACUGACGCUGAGGUGCGAAAGCGUGGGGAGCAAACAGG